rnacentral:rRNA from 1 species
CUUUGGGAUAACCCUCGGAAACGGGGGCUAAUACCGGAUAUGACUUCUGGUUGCAUGACUGGUGGUGGAAAGUUUUUUCGGCCUGGGAUGGACUCGCGGCCUAUCAGCUUGUUGGUGGGGUAAUGGCCUACCAAGGCGACGACGGGUAGCCGGCCUGAGAGGGCGACCGGCCACACUGGGACUGAGACACGGCCCAGACUCCUACGGGAGGCAGCAGUAGGGAAUAUUGCACAAUGGGCGGAAGCCUGAUGCAGCGACGCCGCGUGAGGGAUGACGGCCUUCGGGUUGUAAACCUCUUUCAGCAGGGACGAAGCGUAAGUGACGGUACCUGCAGAAGAAGCACCGGCCAACUACGUGCCAGCAGCCGCGGUAAGACGUAGGGUGCGAGCGUUGUCCGGAUUUAUUGGGAGUAAAGAGCUCGUAGGCGGCUUGUCGCGUCGACUGUGAAAACCCGCGGCUCAACCGCAGGCUUGCAGCCGAUACGGGCAGGCUAGAGUUCGGUAGGGGAGACUGGAAUUCCUGGUGUAGCGGUGAAAUGCGCAGAUACCAGGAGGAACACCGGUGGCGAAGGCGGGUCUCUGGGCCGAUACUGACGCUGAGGAGCGAAAGCGUGGGGAGCGAACAGGAUUAGAUACCCUGGUAGUCCACGCUGUAAACGUUGGGCGC